rnacentral:pre_miRNA from 1 species
UGGGGGUGUGGACUGGGCCCUAGGAGCAGGGCCCUGGGCAUCCUGUGUGCUGAUGAAGGAGAGCAGGGCCCCCACUCCCUGGGCCCAGCUUCAG